rnacentral:rRNA from 1 species
CCUACGGGUGGCAGCAGUGAGGAAUAUUGGUCAAUGGCCGUAAGGCUGAACCAGCCAAGUCGCGUGAAGGAAGAAGGAUCUAUGGUUUGUAAACUUCUGUUAUAGGGGAAUAAAGGUAGCCACGUGUGGAUAUUUGCAUGUACCCUAUGAAUAAGCAUCGGCUAACGCCGUGCCAGCAGCCGCGGUAAUACGGAGGAUGCGAGCGUUAUCCGGAUUUAGUGGGUUUAAAGGGGGCGUAGGGUGUUUUUUACGGCAGCGUUGAAAGUUUGUGGCUCAACCAUAAAAUUGCCGUUGAAACUGGAAGCCUUGCUUGUGUUUGCGUUCGGCGGCCUGCGUGGUGUAGCGGU